rnacentral:rRNA from 1 species
AGGACGAACGCUGGCGGCGUGCUUAACACAUGCAAGUCGAGCGGUAAGGCCUUUCGGGGUACACGAGCGGCGAACGGGUGAGUAACACGUGGGUGAUCUGCCCUGCACUCUGGGAUAAGCCUGGGAAACUGGGUCUAAUACCGGAUAUGACCUGCUCUCGCAUGGGGGUGGGUGGAAAGAUUUAUCGGUGCAGGAUGGGCCCGCGGCCUAUCAGCUUGUUGGUGGGGUAAUGGCCUACCAAGGCGACGACGGGUAGCCGACCUGAGAGGGUGACCGGCCACACUGGGACUGAGACACGGCCCAGACUCCUACGGGAGGCAGCAGUGGGGGAAUAUUGCACAAUGGGCGAAAGCCUGAUGCAGCGACGCCGCGUGAGGAUGAAGGCCUUCGGGUUGUAAACCUCUUUCAGCAGGACGAAGCGCAAGUGACGGUACCUGCAGAAGAAGCACCGGACUAACUACGUGCCAGCAGCCGC